UACGAAGGGGACUAGCGUUGUUCGGAAUUACUGGGCGUAAAGCGUGCGCAGGCGGUCAUGCAAGACAGAUGUGAAAUCCCCGGGCUCAACCUGGGAACUGCAUUUGUGACUGCAUGGCUGGAGUGCGGCAGAGGGGGAUGGAAUUCCGCGUGUAGCAGUGAAAUGCGUAGAUAUGCGGAGGAACACCGAUGGCGAAGGCAAUCCCCUGGGCCUGCACUGACGCUCAUGCACGAAAGCGUGGGGAGCAAACAGG
rnacentral:rRNA from 1 species